CCCUUAGAUGUUCUGGGCCGCACGCGUGCUACACUGAGUGGAUCAGCGGGUCAGGUUGCGCGAAAGUGUUUCCUAAUCUUGAAAUCCGCUCGUGAUGGGGAUUGACGGUUGCAAUUUUCCGUCAUGAACGAGGAAUACCUUGUAAGCGCGGGUCAUCAUCCCGCGCUGAAUACGUCCCUGCCCUUUGUACACACCGCCCGUCGCUCCUACCGAUUGAGUGGUCCGGUGAGGCUUUGGGAUCUGAGCAAAGAGAGCGUUUCGCUCGUUUUGCCCGGAAAACUCAGUCGAACCUUCUCAUUUAGAGGAAGGAGAAGUCGUAACA
rnacentral:rRNA from 1 species